CGUGGCCAACCUGCCCUUGGGACGGAAACACCCCCGGGAAACUGGGGCUAAUUUCCGAUAGGUGAAGACUCCUGGAAUGGAUUUUCGCUUAAAGGGCGCCUAGGGCAUGCUCCUAGGCGUUGCCCAAGGAUGGGGCCGCGGCCGAUCAGGUUGUUGGUGAGGUAAUGGCCCACCAAGCCUUUAACCGGUACGGGCCGUGGGAGCGGUAGCCCGGAGAUGGGCACUGAGACAAGGGCCCAGGCCCUACGGGGCGCAGCAGUCGCGAAAACUUCGCAAUAAGCGAAAGCUUGACGGGGCCAUCCCGAGUGCCAUCUGCUGAGGAUGGCUUUUACCCAGUAUAGAUAGCUGGGGGAAUAAGGAGAGGGCAAGUCUGGUGUCAGCCGCCGCGGUAAUACCAGCUCUCCGAGUUGUAGGGAUGUUUAUUGGGCCUAAAGCAUCCGUAGCCGGCUGGACAAGUCCUCUGUUAAAUCCAGCGACCAAUCGUUGGUCUGCGGGGGAUACUGUCCGGCUAGGGGGCGGGAGAGGCCGUCGGUAUUCUUGGGGUAGGGGUGAAAUCCUAUAAUCCCAGGAGGACCACCAGUGGCGAAGGCUGUCGGCUAGAACGCGCCCGACGGUGAGGGAUGAAAGCUGGGGGAGCGAACCGGAUUAGAUACCCGGGUAGUCCCAGCUGU
rnacentral:rRNA from 1 species